CGGGAUUCCGGUUGAUCCUGCCGGACCUGACUGCUAUCGGAUUGAUACUAAGCCAUGCGAGUCAUUGUAGCAAUACAAGGCAGACGGCUCAGUAACGCGUAGUCAACCUAACCUAUGGACGGGAAUAACCUCGGGAAACUGAGAAUAAUGCCCGAUAGAACAUUAUGCCUGGAAUGGUUUAUGUUCCAAAUGAUUUAUCGCCGUAGGAUGGGACUGCGGCCUAUCAGUUUGUUGGUGAGGUAAUGGCCCACCAAGACUAUUACAGGUACGGGCUCUGAGAGGAGUAGCCCGGAGAUGGGUACUGAGACACGGACCCAGGCCCUAUGGGGCGCAGCAGGCGAGAAAACUUUGCAAUGUGCGAAAGCACGACAAGGUUAAUCCGAGUGGUUUCUGCUAAAGGAACCUUUUGUCGGUCCUAGAAACACCGAUGAAUAAGGGGUGGGCAAGUUCUGGUGUCAGCCGCCGCGGUAAAACCAGCACCUCAAGUGGUCAGGAUGAUUAUUGGGCCUAAAGCAUCCGUAGCCUGCUUUGUUAGUUUUCGGUUAAAUCUGUACGCUCAACGUACAGGCUGCCGGGAAUACUGCAAAGCUAGGGAGUGGGAGAGGUAGACGGUACUCGGUAGGAAGGGGUAAAAUCCUUUGAUCUAUUGAUGACCACCUGUGGCGAAGGCGGUCUACCAGAACACGUCCGACGGUGAGGGAUGAAAGCUGGGGGAGCAAACCGGAUUAGAUACCCGGGUAGUCCCAGCCGUAAACCAUGCAAACUCAGUGAUGCAUUGGCUUGUGGCCAAUGCAGUGCUGCAGGGAAGCCGUUAAGUUUGCCGCCUGGGAAGUACGUACGCAAGUAUGAAACUUAAAGGAAUUGGCGGGGGAGCACCACAAGGGGUGAAGCCUGCGGUUCAAUUGGAGUCAACGCCGGAAAUCACUAGUG
rnacentral:rRNA from 1 species